GGAGGGAAGGGGAGCCCUUCCUUGACAGGAUCAUCAGGAGGUUUGAAAGGAAAUGAAAUAUGUCUCUUCCGUUCUUCGGUGGCCCUUUGGUCUUGAAUUACGGCAGGCAAGAAUUUAUCUGGGACUGAUUUAUCCAGGAAAGCAAAGAAUGGACAGUCUAAUAUCUCUAGGAAGAGAGUUCUAUAUCCUGGGAGCAGUCAACAGGAGCAACUUGAGUCACUUCUGGAGUGAGAGAAUUGGCCGUCUGCAAGGACGCCCGGAUGUUUUGAUGUUUUUACCAUCCUUGUGGGAGGCUUCUCUCAUGUCCCCGCAUGGAGCUGGAGCUGAUAGAGGGAGCUCAUCUGCUCUCUCCCCGGGUGGGAUUCGAACCUGGCAGCUUUCAGCAAGAAUGGUAAUCGCCAAGUACUGGAAAUCCGAGAAACCAUUGAUGAAAGACGGGUGGGUUGACAAAGUGACUGAUAUAAAAGAUAUGGACAAAUUAACCUUCUUAUUAAAGAAGAAGGAUGGCAGAAAAACAAAAGAGACGGACUGGUCCUGUUUGGAGGAUUAUUUAAAGAAAUAAAGAGACUGUAAACAAGUGAAGGCAAAAACGACAGAAGAGUAAGAAGACAGAAGCAUUAAGACAGGAAGUCGCCACACUCCCCCCUAUUCCCCCCCCUAACUGACCCGUACCUAUCAUACCUUAGAUUCACCCAAACUCCCUUCUCCCUUCCCCUUCCUCCCUCCCCAUUAGCCCUAUCUACAUACCCUUCCCUUAUCAAAGUCAAAACCUUCUCUUUCCUUCCCUCACUUUCCACCUCCCCUUCCCCCCUCCUUUCCUUUUGUUUCUCCCUUCCCCCAUCCCCAAUGUGUUUUGUUUUGUCAAAAUUAAUAAAAACUAUUUUUUUAAAAAGAGAUAUGCAUAUAUUUCAGUUUUCUCAGCAAAGCAGUUGGUUGAUCCAAUCAUAAAUGCAAGCAAACUCUAUUCUGUACAUCAGGAGAAAAAAAAAUGUUUUUUGGCUCAAGAGCUAAAUUUCAAUUUUGGAAGGGUUGCAUUCUAAAAGCACACAGAACCCUUUUGUUGGUGUAGGGGCUCAUGAACUCACAUUUUUUAAUAAAAAAACUCUCAAAUAUCAAAAACCCUUGCUCCCAUGCCUACUACAGACUCCUUUGCCACCAACAGACCCAACCCAUUAUUCCCAAGUAGAGUUUUAAACCCUUUCCCACCAAUCUCAUUCCUCCUGCCAGAUUUUAGAUCCCUCUUCAGUGGAUACGAAAUUUAAAAUCUGGCAUCAGGAGAGAGGCAAGAAGGUGCUUGAUGGAAGAGGUGUUUGAAAUCAGGGUGAAUGUGCUGGGAAGGGUGAUAAACGGAAUGAGAGGCUGAUAGUUCUGGGAAGAUAUUGAAGGACAAGCAGAAGAGCAGCAGAAGAAGUCGGGUAAGGAAGCUGAGCUAGUUAAGUAGCAGUUACAGACUCUUGAAUAAUCAAAUUCACAGAAUAUGACUAUGGGGAGCUGAUUGUAACUGAGGCUGACUCAAAAAUUUGAGAUUUUUAAAGAAAUCAAUCAGAACCUUUCAAAAACAGCACAGUUCAGUAUGUGGAUAUUAACUACUCUGGAGUAAGCCACAGAAGAAUAGUUUUUAUGUCUGCAAAGCCAGUUCAAUUCCAUAUAGGAACUUUCAUGCCUGAAAAACCACUUUUCAGUUCUAAUAACAAUUUCUGUGCCUGGAAAAAAAAAGAGUUCAAUGCUUUGCAGAAAUAAUAGCCAGUGACGGGUAAUAGCCAAUACAGUUUGAGAACCCCUGAUAUAUAACAUGCACUUCUAAGCAAUAGUUAUUCUUUGCUUUUGGUUCUAAAAGAGGAAAAUGGAAAGAAAUUACAGCCAAAUAUGAUACUAGAUAUUGAUUAUAUUGGAAAAGUCAAGUUGACAACACCUUCAUGGGGAAGAGGAGAUCGUUAGGAAAACAUUUCAAAAAUGAUCACCAUGGAGCAACAAAGUAUACAGGCAUUUCCCUCACUUUGGACAUUUACAUGUGUCUGCAUUGCACAGCCAUCAAGCCAGUCUAACAUGUUUAUCUCCUUCUGAUCCUUGCUCUGUAGUAAAUCUGAAAUUAAUUUACUUAUGCUGAUGAUGGGGAUAGCCAGUAAACACCCUAGGAUGUUUUCUUUGGCCAUUCCUGUGGUGCUUUUGUAGAAUUUGUGAUAUGGCAACAAUAUUUCAGUUGGCAUAGCUGCUCUGUCUGCCACAUGGAAAGUCUGACUAAUUUUUUAAAAAGAGAGAACCUUCAAGACGUUACUGAUAUUAGAACAGGCAGCUUUUUAACUGCAAGGCAGGGUCUCAAUUAAUGGGAAUACAUAUUUAGCUGACUUAUGUACUAUGUCUCCUGCCAAUUAGCUCCAUCUCAAUGUUCUAUUCCUUGCCUUGAGUCAAUAAACAAUUCAAGAUUUCCUGGACACAGAAAAUGGCCCUCAAUGCCAAGUACUGUGGGUAUAUUGAAACCAUACCUACAACAAUAGCCCUCAACAAGGGAACACAGCUAACCGAUCACUCCCUUUUUCAAAAGAGCAUUUGACCAAAAAAAAGAAGAAGAAGAAGAAGAAGAAGAAGUUAAAAGCUGAAGCAAUGUAACACUACGAAUCAGGGAAAUCACCAGUUUGUAACAAAGUGGAAUUAUUGAGAGAGCAUCCCUAUGCAUGUCUACUCCAAAUAAGUCCAAUAAGAUUGCAGUUUGACUAAACUUUAGGUCUGCUUUGUUCUGUAUCACUCCUGACAACUCCCCCUUUUAAAAUUACAUACCUCAAAUGCCUUUACAAUAAGGUUUGAUUGUUAGGCUUAGUGUGGUAGAUUGAGAUGAGUGAGUCAUUAUCUAUCAUUUAUCUUGGACUUAAAGGUGGAGGAGAAAAAAAUGAGGUCAGAACAAAGCAGGACAUAGGUUAUUAUGCUGUAAUUUUGCCAAUUGAUUUCAUAUUUAUUUCAUUUUCCUUCAGAAUUUAUGAAGGAUGGUUAAACAGACAGGGCUCCCAAAUCUUGCAGACAGUAUAAUCAUAUAAAAUGUUGCCUCCAUCACUAAAGGUAAAAAAAAAGUGUUAUAUUUGAAUCUUAAGGUCACUUCAAACAGUAUAAUCACAAGUGCGGAAAAUGUAUGUUGAAAGAAUUACUUUGUCCUAGUGAACUCAAGGCACUGCUAUGCUCAUCAAAAUAGCUUUCUGAAGAUAUUGCAAUGUGUAACAAAAUGAAUAAAUACAGUGUCCUUGCUCAGCUUGGUGACAGGGCUAUUGAAGGCAGCCAAAGACACCUUUCAGAUUUAACACAUGUUUUUGAUCUUUUGGAAUCUCGGCUCCCACAUUAUCAUUUUUGCAACCUAUAAGAGCUCCCACUAGUAAACAAGUGUGUACAUUUUGCACAUAUCUUCUUUAAAAGGGGGAUAUCACUCCCAAAAAAACUCAUGAAGCAUGGUUCUCCACUUAAACAGGUCCAUGCUACCAGCUUGCCUUCUUUCCACACUGAAGUGUUUUUCCCCCCCUCUACAACUAAGAGAGCCUUUCAAAGUAGCCUGUUCACCCAGCAAUAACAAUCGGAAGGUUCUUCCUAGUGUUUAGUCAGAAUUUCCUUUCUUUUUUAUUGAAUCCAGAUCUUCUCCUCCAAGCAGCAAAAAACAAACUUGCUCCAUCUUCUUUUUGACAGUUCUUUAAAAACAGUUAUCGUAACAUCAUUCUUUCUUCUUUGAUUUCUUGUUUUUGGAUUAGCACUAUUAUCUCUCACACACCUGUUCUGCACUAUGUAUUUAUACUAAAAUGAAUUUGGAAAGCUACUGAAAAAUUGCUUCUUUAGCUUUUAUGGAAAAUUCUUCCUAUAGAAGUUAGAUAGCCACCUUCCUUACUGUCCUUUCAUAGGCAAGUGAAUAUGUUUUUAUUUCAGCAGGGCUUGAGAGCUGAAUGUUCAAGAGCAAAAAUAUGCCAGAUUGACCCUUUGUUGUUUUGUUCGAACUGGCAUUGUGUUUAACUGCUUUUAAUUCUAUUGUUAGUUGGCAUAUAUGUUCAAAUGUUUCCAUGAUUGGAAUUUUAAAACUUUAUCUGUUUUAAACUUUGGAAUCUUCCUUGAGUUCUCAACUGGGAUGAAAAGGGGAUGAUGUAUUUUUUACUACUAAUAUUAUUUAUACUACUACACAAGCAAAAAUCUCCUGCAUACAUUUCUAUAGAACAUACAUAAUGCUUCAGGCCAGUGACUAGUUAUGAUUAUGGAAACUCCAGUUUAUACACCUGCAAUAGAUUUCCCAUUCAGUUCAAUGGGGCUCCGAAAGAAUCAAUUUUAAUAGAGAAACAAUUCAUGAGGUAAUAUGUCCUCACUUUGUUAACAAAAUAUACUUAUAAUGGUUGUCAAAAAUGACAAAAUAUAAAUAGAGGGAAAGUGACAGAAAAUACAUGCAUGAAACUCUAGAAUGACUAAAAGCAGAUAAUUUUCAUGGUAUUUUAAUGUAUAUUAUGUGACAUUAUAUGCUAAAAUGUAGGGAGUAACACCACAUAAUUUAAACAAUAUGAAUAUUGUCCCAUGUGAUAAUAUUUAACACAUGGCAGCAACUGUGUUGAAUAUCUGAACAUGCACAAGCAUCCUAUGUUGAUAAAAAGGUGUUCUCUGUAAUGAGAGUAUACAUAGCCUGCCUGCAAUUUGAAUGGUCUUGUGCCACACUAAUUACAAUCACUGCAAGGAGUACAUCGUAUUAAAUGUAUAGCUAUUUCCAUGCAAAAUAUUAGAUCAGAAAUGCCUGCCAGGUCAGGGAGGGGACUUUGAUCAGGGGAGAUUCUGACUAAAAGAUGGGUAGCCCCUUUUAUUUCACCUAUCUUUUUACAUUUUCCUCCGAAUAGUAUUUUCUGAACAUGCAAAAAGCAAACCAGGAAGAGGAGAGAGAAUCUCUGUUAAAGACGACCGUGGACACCUUUUCUUAAAUGAAACUGUCUACAGCACCCCUGAGAUCCGCUCUGACUUGAAUACUAUAAUUGAGACAAGUCCUGUAGGUUUCAUCUUGGUGCCUUUACUAUUGGAUAUGUUUCCAUUUCUGCAGCUUAAGGAUAUCCACAGGAACCUUGGAGAGGUGAGAGCCACCACAUGCUCCCCCCCUCCGGGCUUCUGAGAACAACUUGGUGCCAGCUGCACCAAUCCCUUAAAAUGUCAGAUUUGGCUAUGAUGACAUAUGUCUUGAUUGCAUCUGAUCUGAUGUGCAUGUCCGGAAUGUGACAGGGCACAGGAAAGGAGAA